rnacentral:rRNA from 1 species
AUUGAACGCUGGCGGCAUGCCUUACACAUGCAAGUCGAACGGCAGCACGGAGCUUGCUCUGGUGGCGAGUGGCGAACGGGUGAGUAAUAUAUCGGAACGUACCCUGGAGUGGGGGAUAACGUAGCGAAAGUUACGCUAAUACCGCAUACGAUCUAAGGAUGAAAGUGGGGGAUCGCAAGACCUCAUGCUCGUGGAGCGGCCGAUAUCUGAUUAGCUAGUUGGUAGGGUAAAAGCCUACCAAGGCAUCGAUCAGUAGCUGGUCUGAGAGGACGACCAGCCACACUGGAACUGAGACACGGUCCAGACUCCUACGGGAGGCAGCAGUGGGGAAUUUUGGACAAUGGGCGAAAGCCUGAUCUAGCAAUGCCGCGUGAGUGAAGAAGGCCUUCGGGUUGUAAAGCUCUUUUGUCAGGGAAGAAACGGUGAGAGCUAAUAUCUCUUGCUAAUGACGGUACCUGAAGAAUAAGCACCGGCUAACUACGUGCCAGCAGCCGCGGUAAUACGUAGGGUGCAAGCGUUAAUCGGAAUUAUUGGGCGUAAAGCGUGCGCAGGCGGUUUUGUAAGUCUGAUGUGAAAUCCCCGGGCUCAACCUGGGAAUUGCAUUGGAGACUGCAAGGCUAGAACCUGGCAGAGGGGGGUAGAAUUCCACGUGUAGCAGUGAAAUGCGUAGAUAUGUGGAGGAACACCGAUGGCGAAGGCAGCCCCCUGGGUCAAGAUUGACGCUCAUGCACGAAAGCGUGGGGAGCAAACAGGAUUAGAUACCCUGGUAGUCCACGCCCUAAACGAUGUCUACUAGUUGUCGGGUCUUAAUUGACUUGGUAACGCAGCUAACGCGUGAAGUAGACCGCCUGGGGAGUACGGUCGCAAGAUUAAAACUCAAAGGAAUUGACGGGGACCCGCACAAGCGGUGGGUGAUGUGGAUUAAUUCGAUGCAACGCGAAAAACCUUACCUACCCUUGACAUGGCUGGAAUCCUCGAGAGAUUGAGGAGUGCUCGAAAGAGAACCAGUACACAGGUGCUGCAUGGCUGUCGUCAGCUCGUGUCGUGAGAUGUUGGGUUAAGUCCCGCAACGAGCGCAACCCUUGUCAUUAGUUGCUACGAAAGGGCACUCUAAUGAGACUGCCGGUGACAAACCGGAGGAAGGUGGGGAUGACGUCAAGUCCUCAUGGCCCUUAUGGGUAGGGCUUCACACGUCAUACAAUGGUACAUACAGAGCGCCGCCAACCCGCGAGGGGGAGCUAAUCGCAGAAAGUGUAUCGUAGUCCGGAUUGUAGUCUGCAACUCGACUGCAUGAAGUUGGAAUCGCUAGUAAUCGCGGAUCAGCAUGUCGCGGUGAAUACGUUCCCGGGUCU